CUGGUGAGCCAUCAUGGUUUUGUGUGUGGUGAGUUUGUUUCUACUGCACAUUUUAAUUCGGAGCUCCUGAAGGUGUCUGUGUUUAUAAGGACUGUGUUUUUGGAGCUGCUCCCUUGGAGUAAUGAAUUCAUUGCAUGUCUCUGGGAAAUUACGGAUGAACAUUUGGGCACAGGCUGGUGUCCCAGAGAAGAGAGGAGGAAGGAAAAGCAACCCGUGCAGCCUGUGG